CAGAUUUGUCACUGCUGCAGGCAGCUGACUUCCCUGAUGGGAGACAGGAAGCUGCUAAUGGGGAAACACCUUUCUCUCUGUUGGUUCAUUUUUCAUCAAGAGGAUAUUUCCUAGGAUAGGAAACUCUCAAAGGAAGGACAGUCUGCAGAACAAGAAGAAUAGUGUAUAUUUUCUCAUCCUCCCAACAAAGAAGAGAGUACCAGCAGAUCUGAGGACAAAGAGGAUGAAGAGGGACCUGGAGACCUGUCCAUGGAGUUGUCAUUGAAAGCCUCAGUCAUGAAAAGACUAUGGUACUGUAUUUUGAGGUACAAUAAAAUCUAUUUGGUAACUACACAGCAUUAAAAUUAGGGGUUUUUUUAAAGAGCAUAUCUGUCCCAAAUUUUUCUUCAUGCAUGCAUACAUCACAAAAAAACCUUUUAAGCCAGACAAUAAUUAGAAAAAGCCCUCCAGAAAGCAUGAUCAACCUGUAUUUGUGGAACUAAACACUUUCUCAUCCUACUUGCUCA